UAUUAAAGAUUUCAUCUAUUUUUACUGUUAAAACAGAAUAACCAAAUAGUUACACUUGGCCCGCCAUGUAUACCUCAUUCUGAUGUACAGAGAUUAGUUUUUUAUAGAAGAAAUGGAUGAAAUUUUUAUUA
rfam:Gossypium raimondii Chr03_contig_1068, whole genome shotgun sequence.